rnacentral:rRNA from 1 species
AGUGAACGCUGGCGGCGUGCCUAAUACAUGCAAGUCGAACGGAGAUUCAGUAGCUUGCUAUUUAAUCUUAGUGGCGCACGGGUGAGUAAUAUAUAGCUAACUUGCCCAUUACUAAGGGACAACAGUUGGAAACGACUGCUAAUACCUUAUACUCCGUAUCUAUAUAAGUAGAUACGGGAAAGUUUUUCGGUAAUGGAUAGGGCUAUAUCGUAUCAGCUAGUUGGUAAGGUAAUGGCUUACCAAGGCUAUGACGCGUAACUGGUCUGAGAGGAUGAUCAGUCAAACUGGAACUGAGACACGGUCCAGAGUCCUACGGGAGGCAGCAGUAGGGAAGAUUGCUCAAUGGGGGAAACCCUGAAGCAGCAACGCGGCGUGGAGGAUGACACUUUUCGGAGCGUAAACUCCUUUUGUUGGGAAAGAAUUAUGACGGUACCCAAGGAAUAAGCACCGGCUAACUCCGUG